rnacentral:tRNA from 1 species
GCCUGGGUGGCUCAGUUGGUUAAGCGUCCGACUUCAACUCGGGUCAUGAUCUCGCGGUGUGUGAGUUUGAGCCCCACGUCGGGCU